rnacentral:rRNA from 1 species
UACGAAGGUCCCAAGCGUUAUCCGGAUUUAUUGGGUUUAAAGGGUGCGUAGGCGGCUUAUUAAGUCAGUGGUGAAAGCUCCAUGCUUAACAUGGAAAUUGCCAUUGAUACUGAUGAGCUUGAGUAUAUUUGAAGUGGGCGGAAUGUGUCGUGUAGCGGUGAAAUGCUUAGAUAUGACACAGAACACCGAUUGCGUAGGCAGCUCACUAAACUAUAACUGACGCUGAGGCACGAAAGCAUGGGGAUCAAACAGG